CUUACUCAACCCACGUGGCUUAUCUCUUAGCAGACACCACAUACACUUGCUUCUCUCUGUUCUCUAGAGACUAGAGAUUCAAUCUCUGGGAACAACUAUGAAGCAUUUUUAUUGAAUAUAAACUACAUAUAUAAAGUUGACUAAAUUAAUUGAGAUAUACGUGCAAAAGGCUGGUCAACAUUAAAGUCGUCGAUUUCUUCAAACCUUUCCAUGCUUUUGAAAAGGCACCAGACAUUAAAGGUGUAAUGUCUUUAGCAUACAACUGCGUCAAACAAUCACAGAUCCCAUCACAAGAUGUUAUGUAAAAGUACUCAUCACAAGAGCUUAGUUGGACAACUCAAGUAAAAGAUUUGUCACCAGACACUCAAUAUAUUGAGAAUGCAGAAAACCAGAAACCGUGUGAGAAUGCACAAAUGUGAAUCCAGAAAACAAAUCAGCAUCAAGAUCCCAAUAACAAGAAACUGAUGUCGUAAGGCAUAAAUUGAGGAUCAAAGCUGAGGAAACUAAGAUUACUAGCUGAAGUUCGAUCAGGAAGAUCCAACGACGAAUUAGGUGUCCCAUAAACGAGACUUGGGGUUCGUUUGAUUUUUUUCUUUAGGUCCUAAUUAUGUGUAAAUUGUCUUCUCUCCUGAUAUACUUUUGAUAUACUUUUCGUACUGGUAUUGCCUAUGUAACUAUAGUGUGAUUUUGGAGCUGAAGCUUUAGUUACCUCAAGGUUAGGAGCCUUGCCAAAGGACAAUCUUUUGGUUACUGCUGACUAAAUUUUGAUUGUAUGGCGUUUGACUUAUGCAAUUAAGAUAGAAAAGGAAGAGCUGGGUAUAUUCAAGCCAGAACAAUGUUAUCGUCCGUGGACUUUUUUGCAGACCGCUGAUUUGUUAGCCUAUUAGGAAUUUGAAAUGCAGUAGCAUUCUUGAGUUCCUUUCAACAGCUUUUCAGAUGUAUAUUAGAAUUUUUUUAUGCAACAUUACAGUUUACUGAUUUUGCUAGAAGUUCAAAUCAUUUCACCACUGUAUGAGUUCAUUCAUUUCGUUUAUAAUUUCAGAUGUUGUUUAGAAUCUGAUAACCGUUUGCUGAUAGACUUCCAAUUUCUCCUACCUUGCUGUUUGCAUGGUAUGGAAAUUUUGAAAGUUGAAGACUGGAGAUAUCUGAUCUUUUCAACUUUUAUGCGAGUGAGAGGUGUCUUUAGCGGGAAUUGUUCCACCAGGCACUUCCAUUGGUGUUGAUAAGUUUAUAUGUAGCAGUUGGACAAGAUUCCCAGUCUAUGAGCUGAUUGUGGUUGGUGAAGGCAAUUUUAUAUUAGCUCUGUUGGGAGGCAAAUGUAGUAUAAUUCAAUUGAAGUAUGAGAUGUUAGAAUGAGAAACAUAUGUUUUUAGUAUAAACAUUACACAGAUAUCUGCAAUUUUCCUUCCUUGUGCUAAGCCUGCAAACCAUAUCAAAGUUGUUAAUCCGAAGGAAUGAAAUCUAAAUUGCAUUUGAUGGGUAGAUCUUAGCUUUGGGCCCUUGCGCAGCACGGGCAUCACCCUCUAGUAACAAUUUUAAGAUCCAAUAUGAAUGCAAUUACAGCAGCAAUAGGAAAUUAGAUCCUUCACAAGUUACUUUUGAGUUUCUAUUUCUACUAGGGAAUAUAUUUUUCUACUAUAUAGAAGAGCCAUACUUGGCUUUUCUCACCACAAUUCUGGAAGAAUCAGUUCAUUCAUCUCUUCUCUUCAAAAAACAUGGACUCCUCUCCUGAAUCCUCUUAUCUCCAUCAGCGGCUGCUCUUUGAAAACAUCUUCUCACUUGGGUCACGGGUGUUGCAAUUUCAGGUUUAAGUUUUUUUAUCUGACUUUUCCCCUAAUUUUCUACCGAUUUUCUUCAGAUUUUGUCAAUUUCAUGGUUGAUAUCGUUAUAAGUUUGCCUAACUUUCUCUGCAAUGUUCUUCAACAUUCAUUUCCAUCCUUUUGUUUUUAUUUUUCGUAUUCAAUCUGUUCGUUUUGCACGAUAUUUAUUUUUAUUCAGUCCUUCAAACACUACUCUUUCAGUUCUCUUCAUCUUCUCUGUUGGGUGUUCCGAUUUCAGGUUGCUUUCUCUCCCGGUUUUCUUAUCGGAAAGAAAGUGUAAAGGAACUUUCUUGCAAGCAAAACUUAAUUCCUGGCAGUUGGCAUCGACAAACCCCUAUACCAGCAGCUUCAUGGCUUUUCUCUGGUAUUUGAGGACCUUUCUAAAGGUUAAAAAGCAAUCGAACUGUCAAUUACUAUGGUAAAAGUGAUACAUUAAACUGAAUUUACAUGUCCACUGUGGUUUUCCUCUAAUGCAAAGAAACUGAUCAAAAGAAUCUUGGAUUCCAAUCCACAGACUGUAGAUGAUGGGUAAGACCUAAUCUGCAUGCACAAUUCUAUGUGCAAUUUCCUUUCAGCAGAUUAUAUAUGCUUAAGGUGUUUAUGGAAGAAGAUUUUGACGAUGAAGCAUGGAGUAUCAGAUAUUUGAGUAUAUGCUGAUACAUCCGAGGUGUGCGAUGAAGCACUUAAGUAUCUCAAGAAAGGAGAACAUGGUAGAAGUUCAUCCCAGUAGAGUGACACUCAUUUGAACCUGCAACAGUUUUUCAGCUUCAAAGGCAUAACAUCACUUGUCAGCCAAAGGAUAUACUACAGGUAUGCCUCCUUUAAUUGUGGAUGUGAUCUUGAAGAUAAGAAAGAUUACUUCUAUAACAGGAAUCUGUAUUGAAAGGAAUCGGAAAAUAAAGAAAUAUUUUAAGUAGAAAUCAGCUCUAUCUAUUAAUGUCAAAGAUCUCUAAAUUUCUGGUUCUUUUGGCAUUUCUGUUGUCGAGCUCAAUUUCAGGUCGCUGUUGAUGCAUUCAGUAGAAUUUGGCCAAGCAAUAGGGCAUGGAAAAUUGCAUAAUGUCAAUGCUAUUGUAGCAUGCCUUUUAUACGAUACUGCUGGUUUGCUUCACCAUACACUUGAAAAGAUGAACAAUUAUACCAAAGGCUACAAACCUGUGUACAAGGUUUGGGGGAGUAUGACAUUGCCAUGGUUAUGAUGUGCCUCCAUGAUAUGCUGGUUGGGGUUAACAUGCUCUCUAUAUAUGUAAUAAAUUCGUGUCUUAAUCCUAAUAGGCCAUUUUCAUAUGUGAUUCUAGCUGAAAAUUUUCAUAGUUCAAUCUUUAAUACAAGUCGGUUCGAUCCGUGGAAACAGCCUCUUGCAAAAAUGCAAGGUAAGUUUGCGUACAAUAGACCCUUGUGGUCCGGCCCUUCCCCGAACCCCGCGCAUAGCGGGAGCUUAGUGCACCGGGCUGCCCUUUUUUUAAUCUUUAAUACAAGUCGUUAGUUCAAUAUUUAAUACUCCGCUACACUUUCUUGCAGUAAAAAAGAAUCCAAGCACUGAGGAAGAUGGUGCCUUUCUUAGACUCAACUAAUGCGACUAUUUUGUUAUGCUUCUUGCUUUUCGCAGUAAUGAGAACCCAAAAAUGUUGGACCCGUGCUCGACUGAAGUUCUCUUGGAACUACAGGUGAGAUCUUUGAUCCAUUGAAUCUUUCUUCCUGUGCAAUUUCCUUUAAUUAGCCCUGACAAGAAUAUAAAAAUCCCAACUACAUAAAAGGUUCCCAAAAAAACAAAUUGAAUCUUUAAAACCAAGCAUAUUUACAUUCUACACAGGGUUGCACGCUGACAAACAAAAAUGGAACAAGAAAACAUGAAAGGCCUACUCAUCAAGUAAUUGACCAAAAAAAAAAAAAAACUACCCAUUAAGCAAAAAGGCAUAAAAAGUAUCAAGUAUAUAUAAAAAUUAACUGUAUAUAUACCUGGUUUAUUGAAAGAGUUCAAUGAGGCUAGAGGCGUGAAGCAUAGCGAACUUGGUUGUUUCUAAAAAGGUUCUCAAAUAAACCAAUUUUAUGGUACAACUCUGAACAUUCAAGGAAUUUAAAAGUAGCAUACAAAAUCGAAAAGGUAUUCUUUUUCCUUUUUACAAUAAAUAAAUGCUAUUUUAAUGCAGUUUUUCUAAGCUGUGUAGUUUCCUAACAAAUGCUGUCAGUUUUUUGUUUUUGUUUUGGUGGGAUUAAUCACUUAAAAUGAUCAAAUCAAGAAUAGCAGGACAAAAUAGCAGGCUGGUAGUUAAGAUUUAAGAAGCUUAUGACAUCUAACCGGUUUGAUAGAACAACUUGCUUAUUCAGUAUGGUAAAAGAAUUUUGUCUCUUCAAUUUCAUUUUCUUAUGGACAUUCCCACAUAUUGAGGUGGGCAUCUGCAGUUGGCUUUGCAAACUGGUGCCAUUAUCUUUGUGCAUAGAAUCUCUUAGCAAGAAGGAUUUGCCAACACGUCGCAUGAUGCUACAGUCACGCAGUAGUUCAAGACAUAGAACUCAUUACUCAUUAGGAAUGGAGGGGUAAAGAUGAUGCUUAUUUGUUAAUAUGACCUUGCUUAUUCAGUAUGGUAAAAGAAUUUUGUCUCUUCAAUUUCAUUUUCUUAUGGACAUUCCCACAUAUUGAGGUGGGCAUCUGCAGUUGGCUUUGCAAACUGGUGCCAUUAUCUUUGUGCAUAGAAUCUCUUAGCAAGAAGGAUUUGCCAACACGUCGCAUGAUGCUACAGUCACGCAGUAGUUCAAGACAUAGAACUCAUUACUCAUUAGGAAUGGAGGGGUAAAGAUGAUGCUUAUUUGUUAAUAUGACCUUUAUGCUUUAUUUUAUUUCUGGUGGAAGCGUUUUGUCUUAUACUUAUUUCUUGCUAAUUUAGGAAGUUCAUAAAAUAAUAGUAGGUUUUAUUUGCUAUCAUUCACUCCAAAUACAACUUGAAAAUUACCUAAAACGCUUUUUUUACUUUUUUCACUUUCAAUUCAUUCAAACAAAAUAUUCUUUGCAAAACUAUAACAAAACAGAAUUGCAUCUUCAACUUCAGC